CCAAUAGCGUAUAUUAAAGUUGUUGCAGUUAAAAAGCUCGUAGUUGAAUUUCGGGAUCAGCGCGUCGGUCGUGCCUCCGGUAUGCACUGGCGCCGCUGGUUUCUCCCUUCUGAGGAACCGUGAUGUCAUUAAUUUGGUGUUGCGGGAAAUCAGGACUGUUACUUUGAAAAAAUUAGAGUGUUUAAAGCGGGCACGCGCUUGAAUACAUUAGCAUGGAAUAACGAAAUAGGACGUUCGAUCUUAUUUUGUUGGUUUCUAGGAUUGACGUAAUGAUUAAUAGGGAUAGUUGGGGGCAUUAGUAUUCAAUUGUCAGAGGUGAAAUUCUUGGAUUUAUUGAAGACUAACUACUGCGAAAGCAUUUGCCAAGGAUGUUUUCAUUAAUCAAGAACGAAAGUUAGGGGAUCGAAGACGAUCAGAUACCGUCGUAGUCUUAACCAUAAACUAUGCCGACUAGGGAUCGGAUGAUGUUAAUUUUAUAAUGACUCAUUCGGCGCCUUACG
rnacentral:rRNA from 1 species